rnacentral:rRNA from 1 species
UACGGAGGGUGCGAGCGUUGUCCGGAAUCAUUGGGCGUAAAGGGCGCGUAGGUGGCCCGGUCAGUCUUUGGUGAAAGCGCGGGGCUCAACCCUGCGUCGGCCAGGGAUACUGCCGCGGCUCGAGCACUGUAGAGGCAGGCGGAAUUCCGGGUGGAGUGGUGAAAUGCGUAGAGAGUCCGGAGGAACACCAGAGGCGAAGGCGGCCUACUGGGCUGCACCUGACGCUGAGCCGCGAAAGCCAGGGGAGCGAACGGG